UGAGGAAUAUUGCUCAAUGGGCGAAAGCCUGAAGCAGCAACGCCGCGUGCGCGAUGAAGGUCUUCGGAUCGUAAAGCGCUUUUGAGAGGGACGAGAUAGGACGGUACCUCUUGAAUAAGUCACGGCUAACUACGUGCCAGCAGCCGCGGUAAAACGUAGGUGGCAAGCGUUAUCCGGAUUCACUGGGCGUAAAGCGCGUGCAGGUGGCUUCGUAAGUUGGACGUUAAAUCUUUCGGCCUAACCGGGAGGUGUCGUUCAAUACUGCGGGGCUUGAGGGUAGAAGAGGGGGGUGGAAUUGCCGGUGUAGUGGUGAAAUGCGUAGAUAUCGGCAGGAACACCUGUGGCGAAAGCGGCCCCCUGGUCUGCGCCUGACACUCAGACGCGAAAGCUAGGGGAGUGAACG
rnacentral:rRNA from 1 species